UACAGCCGUAUCACGUUGAAACACUGGUUCUCAUCUGAUCACUGAAGUUAAGCAAUGUUGAACCCAGUCAGUACCUAGAUGGGUGACUGCUUGGGAAUACCAGGUGCUGUAAG